rnacentral:lncRNA from 1 species
AUUCAUGAAAUCAUAAUUGGAAGAAAUCAAGUCAUAUAAAACAUAUGAUCAUGGCUUCGAAUUCCCCUCUAACUAUAAAGAAAUUAGUUCCUCAUGUUCGCAAAUAAACAAAGAUAAAUAAAUUUAAACAUUGAAACAAAGAUAGAAAACACCUAGAAACGCUCCGACAAUCCAACGUCUUGAAUGGCAUACACGGCUCCAAGUUGUCUUCCUUCUUCUCCUUGCAAACUCACGGCACAAUGAGGGAUAAUUGGUGAAUGGUGUAGUGAAAAUCUGGUAGAGGGUGGUUAAUGAAAGGGUGCGGCAAGGCCUUGUAUUUAUAGGCUGAAAAUCCCAUCUCCUAGGUAGCAAAGGACAAGGUUUUAA